GGCCCAGUGCUCAGCACUGCUGGGCGCGGCGACGCUCCGCGGAGCUGGCGGAGCUGGCGGAGCGCACGGCCCUGGCAGCGCUGGCAGCCUCCACCCUUGAGCCUCGGCUCUCGGCCAUCCAUCGGGCCAUCCAUCGGGCCAUCCACCGGGCCAGCGGGGCCGCUUCACCACGGCCUCGAGGACGACCAGCAGGGCCUGCAGCAUGCGGCUUGCCGCCUACUCGCCGUCCACUGGGCGAUGAAGGAGGAUGAGUUGCGGACGCUGACACCGCGCCGUGCCGCGCCGAGCCGCCUCCACACCCCUCGCACCACAUCGAUGGGUCGACCGCUCCAGCAAUAGCAGCAGCCCUUGCUUCAUCCUGGUCUCCGACAUGAUCUCCAAAUUGAUCUCCGACUUGAUGUCCAACUUGAUCUCCAAAUUGAUCUCGAUCUCCGAAUGAUCUCCAACUUGAUCUCCGUCGUGGUCUGCAUGGCCUUCGACAUGGUACCGUGAGUUUGUUUCCCUGCACCCUUCUCCGCCGCGCCUUCGUCUGGUAACCCUGCAGCAGGGCCCGUCGUCAAAAAAUACGUGCAACAAUAGUUCAGGUGGAAAUUUGCGACAUGACAUAGACCAGGGCAGGCACGCCGACCGUCGUAGUUAGAGCAUGCCUUCUCCGUCUGGUGAUCAGCGCACGUGUGAUAGAUACCAAACACCUGAUUCAUGUACAAAGUUUGGGUUUACCGUGUCACAGAUUCCUUCACAAGGCUGUGGCUCAGUUCCUUUAGUUCACAAUAACCGUUCAAAAGCCUUCAAACUCCUUCACCAAAGCAACUUAAAAUGUGAUGUUUAAUGUGUUAUUUAACUUUAUUCCCUUCAAAAACAGCGUGUGUCUGCUCUGCAAAAAGUAUUGACAUUUUAAAAGGAUUUUUAGUGGACAUGCAUCUCAAAGACGCUACUUCCUCUUAGAGACUCAUCGUUGUUUAAACUGCAACCGUUGUAAUUAGUGAUGCCACUACGCUGUAACUAUGUUCAUUAAGUUGUAAUUACGUAAGGAUGGUGUUUCACCGCGGUUUAAGUUGAUAUUUGCAGCCCAAAGCGGAAGUACGACUUUGUCAACAAGUCGUCCGUUCCUCUUUGGGCUUGUCCGUCGACCCGUUAUGUGUGCUCCGACGUACUUAGGUAUUCAGCUCAGAGGCUUCCGCCACCGCGAAGCCAUUUCUGAACCGGCACAGAGAAAACGAAGCCGUAUAUAAUUAUUUUACAUUGUUUGCGCGAAUUCUAAGAAAUGUGUCUCCCCAAUGUUCCUCUCAGACCGUUGUAGUUUUAUUAAGGCACCUCCGCGGCGUAGUAAGUUAAUGCCAUGCUAUGCAGCGAGGCUAAACAUGUGUUCAGAAAUACUGGUACUAACCGUUACUUAAGUCUAUAAGUAAAUACUAUGACGUAUUCUAAAAUGUUACUACAUUAGUAAGUCCGCAAGUAAUGAUAUUAGACUGGUGCUCUGUUACACAUUCGAAAGUGAUACUUGCUUCAUUUGGAAUUGAAAAACCAAGGUCAAUAAUAUUCAGAGCAAUAUUGUUUGCAACAAAAAAGAAACAAAUCAAAAAACACCGUUGUUUUGUUGGUUGGUGAAUAUUUAUUACUGCAAAUCCAACCAGCUAAAUACGGCAGAUGGUUUCAAAAAGUAACCGUGCAUGCGCGUAAGACGAUGCUUUAUGCUAAGCAGGGCACAAGGUGAACACUAGUUCCGAUUUCACUUGCCAGUUAUUCGUCGUCAUUUUAUGCCUUAUCGGGGUAAAGUCACCGCAGAGUUAUGUCGAACGCGGAACACAGCGUUCAUUUUUCGAAAAUUACCUUUAACGAGAAAAAAUCCUUACUUGGUGAGUGGCUAAAAGCGCUUCUCCUUGUUAAGUUGAGCCAAAUCUAGGUAUCGCAAAGCAUCGAAAAAAUAUGCUAAUAGAUCGAAGUGUACAACACAUGCAAAUAAUACAAAGAUUAAGGACUUAUGAUAAAAUAGAGAGUAUGAUUGUAACAGUAGCUGUACUUAUGCAAUGUAUCUUACGACGCAAACACAGUUAACAAAUUAUUACUUUCUCACUCCCUCUGCAUUGUCAGUUAGCAGGGACGAAGUGACUCACCACUAUGUCCUCACUUCUGACAGUCGCCGACGCAAGUGGUUAUACCGGAGACCUGUCAGAAGUGUUUGCUGUAAUUCUGACUCACAGUCAAUUUUGAAAUGGGGCCAACUCGGUCGCAUCUCAUAUGAUGGAAGCUUUCAAAUGGCCUUGAUACAGCGAGAGCUUUCUGGUCUGCUGUUAACGACGUAUCGACAUGUGGCCUUCUGUUUCAACUAUUUCAAUGAGUUCAAUUUAACCAAAUCCUGAAAAAAUCAACAUUCAUUCAAUAACUUUUUUUUAAUUAGCACACUGGGAUCCUGCUAACAAUGCACGUCUGGCGUCCAUGGCUCAAGGUUCGUGGUUAUUGUUGAAGGUUGGUCUCUCUCUCAAUGGAGCUGACACAAAUUUAAUAUGAAAAAGAUCAUAAAAAAAUAUCAAACGAACAAUGAUAUUUGCCUUCUGUAUCGUUAAAGCACUUGCUCUCAAUAUUAAAGGACGCGAUGUACACAUGUCAGGUAGUGUGAAAGCAACUAAAUUCGCUCAUAUUAAUUACGCCCAUGUAUGCCUAUGAUUUGUUUUUGCCCGCGAUGUAUUGAUCACAACAAAUAGAUCACAUUUAAUCAUAUUCGAUUCUAGAAGUGUGCUAAUGAAUGUUUAUUUCUUCAGAGUGGCUUCUUACACCAUAGUUGUAGGUGUACUUACCAUUGAUAUAUAGAUCUAGAUGAAUUGUCACUUUGAUGUCUUUCUCGUAUUCUCAGCCAAAAAAAGAUAAAAAAAAAUUAUACGCCUGACCAACAACUGUUCGUACAUAUCUUCGUUGAAAAUGUAACAGACGUGUCCGCUAAUCAAAGGUGCUGAAAAUUUGUAACAGAAAAUUAUGGCGAUAUGUUAUGGCAUUUAUUGCAUUCGCAAUCACCAAGGAAGGCUUGGUUUCUUGUCUAAAACAAAAAAGAGACAACAUUCGUUUCUUGUUCUCAUGUGGUGCUUUCGAAGUAAGAAGUACGUCAAAACGUUGUACGACGACUGUGACAAAUCUGUUACAUAUGUCGGCUAGAAUAACGGCCUACCUUCUAUUGUGGUGGAACUUGUGCGAACCACUGAAGGCUCCAUGUUUCAUGGUGACGUCUAGCGGCGCUCGCCUUGUUUUAUAGAAUGCAUGAUCUGCUCGGGUAAGAUUUCGUAGUCGCACUGUGUGGUCUUAGUAUACUAGGGUUAUUAUUAUUACGAUUAUGAUUUGUUUCCGUAUAAUCCGGGACAUUGGCAGAAUGUUCCUUUUUUUCAAACCCUCUAUUGCAUAAACCACUUGGUGGUAUUGACCACCAUAAAUACAAAAUCGCACAGUGUAAUUCAUGCAGUUGAACUAUACACUGUUUUUCAUUCAUGUUGAUGCAAUUAUUUCGAUCCCCAGUUAAGUACAGAGAGGGUUCAUAAAUUUCUGCCACUGUUUUUGGUACCUACCGUGUUAAAAACAAUAGCUCGUUGAAUGUGUCUUAACAUUAAUCGGCUUUUGUCUUUUAAGUACCUUCCGUACAAUCUCAAGUAAAAUUCCACUGUUAUAUUUGCAGGCCAAAGGCUUCAGGUAAUUAUUUCCUGCAUAUGUGUGAUACUUGCUGAGCUGUGAUUCCAACUAUUUUAUUGUUGUAAUAUAUACUUAUUUCGGGUGUUAAAACAGAUAUCUUGUGUUCCUUUGGAGUAUCUGUUAUUACCUUCAAAACAAGAUGUUUCUUUACUUUAAAAUGCCAGAAACGCGUGAAUGAAAGAAUCAAUCUAAUGUAAUUUCAUAAAGUCGAUUGCACUUAUAAAAAAAAUCAAAAUCCAAUCCAGUGUUCAAAAUUACCACGAAAGCAUUCAAUGAACGCAUUUGUUUAGUGUUGUAUUUGUAACACAUUGCGUGUAACUGUGUGAGUAAAAAUGUCGAAUGACACACAAACGCAGUCACUCUUUAGAGGUAGCGUCGAUGUAAUGAUUCGGUAUAAUUUGCCUUCAUUGUGCUUUUUCAUUUAUCGUUGUCCUGUUCUCCAGAACACGAGACGAUACGCGCGACUUAAAAAAGGGUUUUGUUUAAAAGCGAGCUUUGGGUUGUCAGCGAGUAGAAACUGUAGAGGCUCUUGCCAUCAAAUCAUAACGGGUCAAGGUAAGGUAUUCUUAUAAGUGUCACAUGUUUCGUGUCGGUGUAGGUCAUUCCCCCUUUAAAUUCCUUCCCUCUCCCCUUUUGCUCACAGUUCCCGCAUAACCCUUUAAGUAUAAAAUAAAAACUCGUAGUGGAUAAAGUUUUAUUUACAUUGUGCGUGGUUCUAAACCCUUUUGCUUUAUUUUUGGACCUAUACGUGCAAAGUAAAUUGUGGACGGGCUGCUGAGCGUUAUCUCAGGAUUGACUUGCCGUUAUCGGCUCAAAAUUAAAAAAAAAUCAGAGAUGCAUUAGGUAUGAGCUCUUUGCUAUGCCCUUGCUUUGACUUAUUCGCUUAGUCAGAUCAGGGGCAAAUCUAGCGAGAGAUUCAGAGAGAUGUAUAAAACCUUUUGCAAUCGUUUCUGGACAUUUCCCUAAAGUUUCUAAAUUUUAAAAAAUGUGUGUAUUUCGGACAAUUUAAGGCUUUGGUUACUGAAAAUUUUUAUUUUUUCAUUAAAUAACUGGUUGCAAAAGGUAGCCUAGAACGUAUGAUCGUAAUGAGACUUAAAGCCACUUCAGUAAACAUAGUUAAAUGCAGUAAUUUAAAAAAUAUGCACUGGAUUUAAUAAUUAAAGAAAUGGAUAUAUUCUAACUCUAGUUUAUUUAAGUUCAAGUUUAAAGCGAAGUUUCCUAGGUUACUAUAUUGGGGCUGUGUUUGCUCCGAGGUGAUUGCUAGGCAAGUUCCUGCACUGUCUUAAAUUCUGUAUUUAAUAUGUUUACUCGUUAGUCGUCAAAAUCUGGAUUUAGGCUACUCCAAUGAUAGAAGACGUUAAAAUGUAACGAUGGCACUGUCAUAAAAAUUGAACAUAAUAGGCAUCUUGGUUUGACGACCAAUCAAAAAGCCGUCUUUUUGAAAGAUAACAGUGUAAGUAAUAUCAUUAUUAUCUUUUAUAGGCCAUAGAUCGCACUUCGCGAACAAAUGACUUGUUUUAUUUUAUUUGCAUGCUUGAGAAGCAAGUGAAAUUAGCGACGAAGUUCAAAUAAUUUCACGUUUUCCUGAAAAGGUAGAAGUGGUUUUUGGACUUUUCGAGUUUAGGCGUCAAGCUCCAGUACACUUGUAAUUGUUUAAAAGGUCCCGAAGAGGUCAUGAAACUAGCUCAUUUUACUAGUCAGCGGACUGUGUGUCUUCGUCUCUUGCCCUUACUGAGGAGCGUGAAAUACUGGAGGUGUGUGCUGUGUCCUGGGUGUUGUAUUGUACCGUCUAUAUAUGAGUGUCACAAAUAUUUAAAGGUAUAACGUGGUCUGUUUCUAGGACAGACUUUAUUUUAUUUGUAUAGACAACUACUAUGACACAUACCAUUGGUGCCUAAUUGGUGGUGCCCAUGUGGGGAGCUGGGAACCAGGGUGCGAGGUUUCGAGCAUUCAUGUUUUGAAAACCUUACCACCCCAUUUUCAAUUUUUAUGUAAAUCACUGUUUAAUGGCAGUGAACCUGUCUCGGUUAGCGGCCGUUUGAUGCGAAUUUCACUCGGCCAUCGUUUAUGUCAUUAACUGUCAUACAACGAUGCCCAGGGCUUCCCAAAAAUAUUCUAUUUUAGAGACACGACCCAUAACGUACCGUAACAGUAAACUGUUUAUUUUGGUUCAACUACGUAUUUCAAAUUGUAAAUUUAGAAAUGCAGUUCAAGCUGCGCGAAACUUAUAAGUAACUCACUGGUCAUUGGAUGAAACGUAACGUUAACAUACAAACGAUUCGUUUUAUUGUCGCCUCUCUGCAUUUAUGAUAGGCUGUGAGAGGAUCUUAGGAAAAUUAUUCUAUGCGGAUGGUGUAGCGUUGAUUAUUAGGUUUGUGUGAGUUUGCGAGAAGUGUUUCGAGUGCGUUGCAAAUUGUUGUCUUUUUCACUCAUCUAUUUUUUCCGUACAUUUUUCUCCGUUUUUUUUUGACAUACAUUUUAUCUCAUUUAGUCGUGUGCUUUUGUGUGUGUAGUUUCUGUGUGAUCAUGCUUCUAUGUAGAAUAGUUGAGUAUUUAUUCAUUAUCAAUUUACCCUGGCCAUAUUCCCUUUUCACCUUUUAUUAGACAGUUGGUCAGCCUGUCACCCAGGCUGUCAAGCUCAUGUCUAUCACGGUCACGGGGCUCAAGAUACAGAGGCUCAAUAGCUUUUCAGCCAUUAUACAAAUUUCUUCUCUUAUGGAUGUCUUAAUUUUUUGUGUCUUUUUUCGGUCAUAAGACGUUAAUUUUACUCGUCCAGCCGUUUUCCAUUUACUGUUUACUUGUUGUCUCGUUUAUUACGCAGGUUGGUUCCAUAUAUGUAGAUUAGACAGGAGGGUUCAAAUAUUUUAAAUAUAUCUGGCGCCACUAGCAAGACUGUGUGGCAGUCGGGUCAUUUUUA
rnacentral:lncRNA from 1 species